rnacentral:rRNA from 1 species
AUUGAACGCUGGCGGCAGGCCUAACACAUGCAAGUCGAGCGAGCGGCGGACGGGUGAGUAAUGUAUGGGGAUCUGCGCGACAGAGGGGGAUAACUACGGGAAACGGUGGCUAAUACCGCAUACUAUCGGAUGAACCCAUAGGGGAUUAGCUAGUGGGUGGGGUAAAGGCUCACCGAGGCGACGAUCUCUAGCUGGUCGGAGAGGAUGAUCAGCCACACUGGGACUGAGACACGGCCCAGACUCCUACGGGAGGCAGCAGUAGGGAAUCUUGGGCAAUGGACGAAAGUCUGAUCGAGCAAUGCCGCGUGAGUGAAGAAGGUUUUCGGAUCGUAAAACUCUGUUAUUAGAGAAGCGGUAUCUAACCAGAAAGCCCCGGCUAACUACGUGCCAGCAGCCGCGGUAAUAC